rnacentral:RNase_P_RNA from 1 species
GAAGCGAGCCGGAUGGCCGCGGAUUCUCGAAUCCGAGGAAAGUCCGGGCUCCGCAGGGCAGGGUGCUGGGUAACUCCCAGGGGAAGCGAUUCCACGGAAAGUGCCACAGAAAACAAACCGCCACCGCGCCUCGCGGCGUGGGGGUAAGGGUGAAAAGGUGAGGUAAGAGCUCACCGGGCGGCCGGCGACGGACGCCGCAUGGCAAACCCCACCCGGAGCAAGACCAAAUAGGGGAAGAGAGGCGGCCCGUCUCGCUCGAUUCCCGGGUAGGUUGCUCGAGGCCGUCGGCAACGGCGGUCCUAGAUAAAUGGCCAUCACUCCCUUCGGGGAGGACAGAACCCGGCUUACAGGUUCGCUUCCGCU